AUUGAACGCUGGCGGCAUGCUUUACACAUGCAAGUCGAACGGCAGCGCGGGCUUCGGCCUGGCGGCGAGUGGCGAACGGGUGAGUAAUGCAUCGGAACGUGCCCAGUAGUGGGGGAUAGCCCGGCGAAAGCCGGAUUAAUACCGCAUACGACCUGAGGGUGAAAGCGGGGGACCGAAAGGCCUCGCGCUAUUGGAGCGGCCGAUGUCGGAUUAGCUAGUUGGUGGGGUAAAGGCUUACCAAGGCGACGAUCCGUAGCUGGUCUGAGAGGACGACCAGCCACCGGGGGAGUGAGACAGGGCCGAGACUCCUACGGGAGGCAGCAGGGGGGAAUUGGGGAAAAGGGGGGCAACCCUGAUCCAGCCAGGCCGGGGGGGGGAAGAGGCCGUUGGGUUUGUAAACGGUUUUUGUGGGGAAAGAAACGCUGGGGGCUAAUCCCGCGGGGGGAUGACGGUACGGAAAAAAAAAGCACCGGCUAACUCGGUG
rnacentral:rRNA from 1 species